rnacentral:rRNA from 1 species
GACGAACGCUGGCGGCGUGCUUAACACAUGCAAGUCGAGCGGUAAGGCCCUUUCGGGGGUACGACGAGCGGCGAACGGGUGAGUAACACGUGGGUGACCUGCCCUCAGCUCUGGGAUAAGCCUGGGAAACCGGGUCUAAUACUGGAUAUGACUCCAUGACGCAUGUUGUGGGGUGGAAAGCCUUGUGCGGCUGAGGAUGGGCCCGCGGCCUAUCAGCUUGUUGGUGGGGUGANGGCCUACCAAGGCGACGACGGGUAGCCGGCCUGAGAGGGCGACCGGCACACUGGGACUGAGACACGGCCCAGACUCCUACGGGAGGCAGCAGUGGGGAAUCUUGCGCAAUGGGCGAAAGCCUGACGCAGCGACGCCGCGUGAGGGAU